rnacentral:piRNA from 1 species
UUCCGCAGUGCGUUGAUAUGGCCAG